GACGAACGCUGGCGGCGUGCCUAAUACAUGCAAGUCGAGCCCAGGAAACUGACGGAACUCUUCGGAGGGAAGGCAGUGGAAUGAGCGGCGGACGGGUGAGUAACACGUAAGGAACCUGCCUCAAGGAUUGGGAUAACUCCGAGAAAUCGGAGCUAAUACCGGAUAGUUCAUCGGACCGCAUGGUCCGUUGAUGAAAGGCGCUUCGGCGUCACCUUGAGAUGGCCUUGCGGUGCAUUAGCUAGUUGGUGGGGUAACGGCCCACCAAGGCGACGAUGCAUAGCCGACCUGGGAGGGUGAUUGGCCACACUGGGACUGAGACACGGCCCAGACUCCUACGGGAGGCAGCAGUAGGGAAUCUUCCACAAUGGACGAAAGUCUGAUGGAGCAACGCCGCGUGAGUGAUGAAGGUUUUCGGAUCGUAAAACUCUGUUGUAAGGGAAGAACACGUACGAGAGGAAAUGCUCGUACCUUGACGGUACCUUACGAGAAAGCCACGGCUAACUACGUGCCAGCCGCCGCCGUAA
rnacentral:rRNA from 1 species